rnacentral:rRNA from 1 species
GAUGAACGCUGGCGGCGUGCCUAAUACAUGCAAGUCGAGCGAACAGACGAGGAGCUUGCUCCUCUGACGUUAGCGGCGGACGGGUGAGUAACACGUGGAUAACCUACCUAUAAGACUGGGAUAACUUCGGGAAACCGGAGCUAAUACCGGAUAAUAUAUUGAACCGCAUGGUUCAAUAGUGAAAGACGGUUUUGCUGUCACUUAUAGAUGGAUCCGCGCCGCAUUAGCUAGUUGGUAAGGUAACGGCUUACCAAGGCGACGAUGCGUAGCCGACCUGAGAGGGGGAUCGGCCACACUGGAACUGAGACACGGUCCAGACUCCUACGGGAGGCAGCAGUAGGGAAUCUUCGGCAAUGGGCGAAAGCCUGACGGAGCAACGCCGCGUGGGUGAUGAAGGUCUUCGGAUCGUAAAACUCUGUUAUUAGGGAAGAACAAAUGUGUAAGUAACUAUGCACGUCUUGACGGUACCUAAUCAGAAAGCCACGGCUAACUACGUG